rnacentral:misc_RNA from 1 species
GAAAUGCGAUAAGUAAUGUGAAUUGCAGAAUUCAGUGAAUCAUCGAAUCUUUGAACGCACAUUGCGCCCGCCAGUAUUCUGGCGGGCAUGCCUGUUCGAGCGUCAUUUCAACCAUCAAGCCCCCGGGCUUGUGUUGGGGACCUGCGGCUGCCGCAGGCCCCGAAAACCAGUGGCGGGCUCGCUGUCACACCGGGCGUAGUAGAUUUUUCGUCUCGCCCAGGGCGUGCUGCGGGUUCCGGCCGUUAAAAAGCCUCUCUUUUAACCCAAGGUUGACCUCGGAUCAGGUAGGAAGACCCGCUGAACUUAAG